AUGGCGGCCAACAUGCUUCUUAUAUCUCAGCUCCCUUCUACGCAGAAGUGAGAGAAAAAGAAGAGAACAAAAAUUUCAGCUCCCGAUCAUGAUUUAAGGAAUCAGUAUUGGUAUUGGCCUGAAAUUGGUAUUGCAAUAAUCUGCCGAGAUUCCGAUAUGAAUCGUCUCAGGCGAUCCGAUACCGAUUCAGCAAAACCAUGCUCCGGAAUACUGGUAAAACUGUCGGCGCUUUAACUUCUCUUGAUUUAGAUCGCAAAACCCUAAAACCCAUAAUCUGUAGAGAGAGAGGAAGAGAGAUCACCAGUUCCUAUUCUCCAAUGGCGAGGAAGAGAAAGGUUACUUACAAAGUAGAACAAUCUUCUUCCGAUGAUGAUGAAAAGCUAAAAAUCUACGAAUCCGAAGAUCAAUCCUCUGAAGAAGAAGAAGAAGAAGAAGAGGAGGAGGGGGAGGAGGAGGAGGAGGAGGAAGAAGAAGACGAAGACGAAGAUGAAGACGAAGACGAAGAAGAGGAGGAGGAAGAAGAAGAUGAACAAGAAGAAGAAGAAGAGAAAGAUGAAGACGAAGAUGAUGAAGAAGAAGAGGAGAAAGACGAAGCUUCGAAGCGAGAACUAAUUCGUAAGCUCUUGGAACCUUUUGGGAAAGACCAAUUAAUCGAAAUUCUCAAAGAAGCUGCCCUCAAGGACCGCUCAGUCAUCUCUAAUAUCAGCAAAGCUGCAGAAUCCGACCCUGUUCAUCGCAAGAUCUUCGUUCAUGGCCUUGGCUGGGACUCCACUUCUGAAAACCUAGUUUCAGCUUUUAAACAAUAUGGUCAGAUUGAAGAAUGCAAUGUUGUCACUGAUAAGGUUACUGGAAAGUCCAAGGGCUAUGGAUUUGUGCUCUUCAAGACCCGUAAAGGAGCUCGAAAGGCCCUUCAGCAGCCUCAGAAGAAGAUUGGGAACCGCAUGACUGCUUGCCAGCUUGCCUCGUCGGGUCCUGUGACAAGUAAUCCAGCACCUGAUGCAACUGGUCGCAAGAUCUAUGUAGCCAAUGUUGGCCCUUAUAUAAACCCAGAGAAGCUUCGAGCUUUCUUCGCUAAAUUUGGGGAAAUAGAGGAAGGGCCACUGGGUUAUGAACGCAACACUGGGAAGCUUAAGGGUUUUGCGAUUUUUGUGUACAAGACGCAAGAGGGAAGUAGGAAGGCAUUAGAGGAGCCAACAAAAAUGUUUGAAGGUUGCACAUUGCAGUGCCAGAGAGCAGCUGAAGGGGUCAAGGCUAAUAAGAGUCAGCCAGUGGUUGCAGGGGGUUCCGUGGCAUUUCCGCCAAACGAUCUUGCUUUGAAUUAUGCAAUGGGAUUGAAUCCAGGAAUGAUGUAUCAGAGUUUUAAUCCGGCGGCUAUGGUUGGUCAGAAUCCAGGGAUGGGUAUGUUGAAUCCUGCAAUGAGUGCAUCAUUGAAUCAAGGAGGUGUGACUUCCUCUGUUGGUAGUGGAUUGUCGCCUUCUGUGAAUAGAAGCGGAACUCCAACAGUGGGAUUGAGUGCAGCCUAUGGUGGUCACUCGAGUAUCAAUAGCUUUAGUCCAAGUGUGAUUGGUAGUUAUGGUUCUCAGGCGGCUUUGCAUGGGCUGGGUGCUUACCAGAGUGCCCAAAUGGGACAGUCCUCUGCGGGAGCAAGUCCAGCAACAAGGUCUCAACCUGGUCUUGGGCUGAUAGGAACAAUGCCUUCUUACUUUGGACGAUAGGGAAACCUUCUGGGGAUGCCAAGGCUGGAGUUGGUGGGAUUCCUUCUCCGCAGUUGGGUGAGAACUGAGAAGCCUAACCCAUCUUCUACUUUUCUUUUUAUCUUUUUCUCCUUCCAUUAAAGAUAAUAUCAUAGUGCAGGAACAGCCACCACAUCUAUCCAUCGAACCCCCCUAGUAGUGGCAAUUCAUUGCCUUUUGGUCUCCCGGCAGAAACUUACAUGCCCUAGUUUCUGUUUCUUUUCCAGUUCUUAUUCCUAUACUCCCAUACUACUUUGUUCCUUAGUUGCUUACGGAUAUUUAUGUAAAUUUUUAUUUUAUUUUCCGUUGUUGGAGUUGGAUAAUGUAGAGAUGUUCUUUUCACUUACAGUUUUAGAAUCUAAUUAGUAGUCUUUCUAUUCUUAUUUAUAUGAUAACAUGUAACCCUAGCGGGGGGAUAAAUUUUGAUUUGCUUGGUUGAUGGUCUGUUUACUGGUUC